ACGCUUAGGCACGAAGGCGUGGGUAUCAAACAGGAUUAGAUACCCUGGUAGUCCACGCAGUAAACUAUGAUUACUCGCUGUUUGCGAUACACAGUAAGCGGCUUAGCGAAAGCGUUAAGUAAUCCACCUGGGGAGUACGUUCGCAAGAAUGAAACUCAAAGGAAUUGACGGGGGCCCGCACAAGCGGAGGAACAUGUGGUUUAAUUCGAUGAUACGCGAGGAACCUUACCCGGGCUUGAAAUGCAUUUGACCGGCUCAGAGACGAGCCUUCCCUUCGGGGCAAAUGUGUAGGUGCUGCAUGGUUGUCGUCAGCUCGUGCCGUGAGGUGUCGGCUUAAGUGCCAUAACGAGCGCAACCCUCAUCAUUAGUUACUAACAGGUUAAGCUGAGGACUCUAGUGAGACUGCCAUCGUAAGAUGCGAGGAAGGUGGGGAUGACGUCAAAUCAGCACGGCCCUUAUGUCCGGGGCGACACGACUGUGUUACUAAUGGUAUGGUACAACGAGGCGAGCUACUUGGCG
rnacentral:rRNA from 1 species